rnacentral:rRNA from 1 species
UACGAAGGGGGCUAGCGUUGCUCGGAAUGACUGGGCGUAAAGGGCGCGUAGGCGGUUCGGUUAGUUAGGCGUGAAAUUCCCGGGCUCAACCUGGGAACCGCGCUUGAUACAGCCGGGCUUGAGUUCGGAAGAGGGUCGUGGAAUUCCCAGUGUAGAGGUGAAAUUCGUAGAUAUUGGGAAGAACACCGGUGGCGAAGGCGGCGACCUGGUCCGAUACUGACGCUGAGGCGCGAAAGCGUGGGGAGCAAACAGG